CAGUCGAACGAGAGAAUUGCUAGCUUGCUAAUAAUUCUCUAGUGGCGCACGAGUGCAUUAACACGUGAGUAACCUGCCCCCGAGAGCGGGAUAGCCCUGGGAAACUGGGAUUAAUACCGCAUAGUAUCGAAAGAUUAAAGCAGCAAUGCGCUUGGGGAUGGGCUCGCGGCCUAUUAGUUAGUUGGUGAGGUAACGGCUCACCAAGGCGAUGACGGGUAGCCGGUCUGAGAGGAUGUCCGGCCACACUGGAACUGAGACACGGUCCAGACACCUACGGGUGGCAGCAGUCGAGAAUCAUUCACAAUGGGGGAAACCCUGAUGGUGCGACGCCGCGUGGGGGAAUGAGGGUCUUCGGAUUGUAAACCCCUGUCAUGUGGGAGCAAAUUAAAAAGAUAGUACCACAAGAGGAAGAGACGGCUAACUCUGUGCCAGCAGCCGCGGUAAUACAGAGGUCUCAAGCGUUGUUCGGAAUCACUGGGCGUAAAGCGUGCGUAGGCUGUUUCGUAAGUCGUGUGUGAAAGGCGCGGGCUCAACCCGCGGACGGCACAUGAUACUGCGAGACUAGAGUAAUGGAGGGGGAACCGGAAUUCUCGGUGUAGCAGUGAAAUGCGUAGAUAUCGAGAGGAACACUCGUGGCGAAGGCGGGUUCCUGGACAUUAACUGACGCUGAGGCACGAAGGCCAGGGGAGCGAAAGGGAUUAGAUACCCCUGUAGUCCUGGCAGUAAACGGUGCACGCUUGGUGUGCGGGGAAUCGACCCCCUGCGUGCCGGAGCUAACGCGUUAAGCGUGCCGCCUGGGGAGUACGGUCGCAAGAUUAAAACUCA
rnacentral:rRNA from 1 species